rnacentral:tRNA from 1 species
CGCCCGUUAGUGGAAUGGCUAACACGUCACACUCUCACUGUGAAGACUAUGAGUUCGAACCUCAUACGGGUGACCA